UACGGAGGAUGCAAGCGUUAUCCGGAUUUAUUGGGUUUAAAGGGUGCGUAGGCGGCCAUUUAAGUCAGCGGUGAAAUUUUGCAGCUUAACUGUAACAGUGCCGUUGAUACUGUUUGGCUAGGAUUUGGUUGUAGUGUGCGGAAUGUGUGGUGUAGCGGUGAAAUGCUUAGAUAUCACGAGGAACUCCGAUUGCGCAGGCAGCUUACUAAACUACUACUGACGCUCAGGCACGAAGGCGUGGGGAUCAAACAGGAUUAGAUACCCGGGUA
rnacentral:rRNA from 1 species